GAUGAAGAACGUAGCGAAAUGCGAUAAGUAAUGUGAAUUGCAGAAUUCAGUGAAUCAUCGAAUCUUUGAACGCACAUUGCGCCCCUUGGUAUUCCUAGGGGCAUGCCUGUUCGAGCGUCAUUAUAACCCCUCAAGCUCAGCUUGGUGUUGGGGCCUGCUGCACUGGCAGCCCUUAAAAUCAGUGGCGGCGCCAUCUGGCUCUAAGCGUAGUAAUUCUUCUCGCUAUGGAGUCCUGGUGGAUGCUUGCCAUCAACCCCCAAUUUUUCUAUGGUUGACCUCGGAUCAGGUAGGGAUACCCGCUGAACUUAAGCAUAUCAAUAAGCGGAGGA
rnacentral:misc_RNA from 1 species